CCCAGCUAUGAUUGUGUAUAGGUCCAGGGAGAAUAAAAGGGGCUGGGUGUCAGUUGAAAGGUCUGUUUCACUAGACUCAGUAAUGAUUUGGGACUCCAACGUCUCUGCUGUGGAAUGCUUCAUUUUACAACUGAACAUAACAUACUUCACCAGUGCAGAGGCAUUAGCGUAGUGGCAGUAGGAAUGCUGGCUUUUGCCACCAUAGGCCACUGGACAUGGUGCCAUUAAAAUAAAGACAAAACAGUUUUGGAGGCCAGAAGCUGGGAAAUCUCCAUCAUGUUAGUGAUCCUGGUUGUGACAUCAGCAAAUCUUAAGAGUAGCUGGUAUUCAAUAAAUAGUGGUGAUAGAGAUGGCCUGAUUCUAAGGCCACCAAGAGCUGUCUCUUCUUAGGGCAGAUCCAUCUUCUUGGGGCAGCAUCUCCAUAGAAUUGUUAAGGCUGGUGGUGGCUGUGGAAUCCUGAAUUAGUUAAAAGAAUUUAAUUACAAGUUAACUUCUUUACCAAUUUAUUUAUCAUAGUCCUAAGUUUUUGCAGGUGCUGGACACGUAGGAAUGAAAUGAAUUUUCUUUUCUUAUGGAGCUAUAAUUUUAGGAGGAAGAAACAGAAAAUAAAUAGAUGAGUAAAUAAAUAAUGUAAUUUCAGGUGUUUACACCCAGGAUGCAAAAGAACGAAAUCCAGGGUCACUUCUAGGUUUUGGAGAACGAUUAUGCUGUUUACUGAAACACAGAGUGCUGGGGUUUCAGUGGGCAAAAUCAAUGUUUGAUUUUGGGUAAGUAAAUUUUGAGACAUUGACUUGCAUGGAAACAUUGAUUAACCAGUUGGAUAAAGGAUUAACCAGUUGGAUCACAGCAAUGAAUCUCCACUGCAGAAAGCCUGAAAUUAGGGCUAAGAACAUUGGUAGUGCAGCCUGGAGCAGUAAGUAAAGGCUGACAGCCAGCGGCUCCCUGGACUGACUUGUAGUCCUUAUAUCCCGUCUAGGGGUAUUCCCACAUAUGUUCAAGGAUGUUUGCUCUGAAAGGAAAGGAGCUGGAAUUGUUUGAGGAGCACGUGGAAACUCGAAGGGAGCAAGAUUUGAGUGCUAACUCUCAUGUGAUCUCAUUGAUACCUACAAAUUAGUAAGGUAUAGUGUGUUCUGGUAAUAGAUGCAUAUGCAAAGUGUUGCGUGUAAUUAUGUAACGAAGUGUCCCAGUGCAAUUGUGUGUUUUCACUGUAUGAGUAAUUCACAACAUUUAUUACUGUCUCCAGGUUAGUGAUGUUAUAUUAGUGGAGACAGUGUGGUAUAAUAGGAGAGUACUGGAUUUGGAGCCAAAGUGAGGUAAUUCUCCUUGAAUGAAGAACAUGUUGCCUCAGCUGCUGGAUGUCCUAUUGGCAGACAGUCUUCAGCGGUCACCACCUUCAGGGAUUGCUUCCACUGCAGACAAGCAUGUUUGCUAAGCUCACAACCGUUCCUGGGGUGGCCCACAUCCAAAGUGGAGAGACUGUUUACAGACCACAGAGAGAGCUAGGCCUCAGCAGCCCCAACACUUCUCAUGCUGGAUGUUUGAGUCUUCCCAGCCCAGGCAUCAAAUAUAUUCCAAGAUUUUCCCCAAAUCUUCAUUAAUGCAGCCUGCCAAUUAUUCCAGUUCCUGCUCCUUCCUUGGCUUUCUGGGCACCUCUGGGAUUGCACUUCCUGAGCCCCUUAUGGUAACAGUUGUGGUAAAUUGUCAUCUCUACUCAACUAUGGACUCCUUAGGGACAGACUCACAUCUUAUUCAUCUUUGUAUCCCAACACUUAACAUACUUCUUGGCAUAAGGUAGGCAUUCUAUAAAUGCCUUUUGAAUUCAUUCAUUCAUCCAUCCAUUAACAAAGUUAUCACAUUAUCUUUUGUCAUUGGUUGGUGCUUGGUUUACAGUAAGGAACACACA